rfam:Felis catus isolate Cinnamon breed Abyssinian chromosome E1, whole genome shotgun sequence.
GCCUGGGUGGCUCAGUCGGUUGAGCAUCUGACUUUGGCUCAGGUCAUGAUCUCAUGGUCCGUGAGUUCGAACCCGGCAUCAGGCU